rnacentral:rRNA from 1 species
AGAGUUUGAUCCUGGCUCAGAUUGAACGCUGGCGGCAGGCCUAACACAUGCAAGUCGAGCGGUAGAGAGGUGCUUGCACCUCUUGAGAGCGGCGGACGGGUGAGUAAUACCUAGGAAUCUGCCUGGUAGUGGGGGAUAACGUUCGGAAACGGACGCUAAUACCGCAUACGUCCUACGGGAGAAAGCAGGGGACCUUCGGGCCUUGCGCUAUCAGAUGAGCCUAGGUCGGAUUAGCUAGUUGGUGAGGUAAUGGCUCACCAAGGCUACGAUCCGUAACUGGUCUGAGAGGAUGAUCAGUCACACUGGAACUGAGACACGGUCCAGACUCCUACGGGAGGCAGCAGUGGGGAAUAUUGGACAAUGGGCGAAAGCCUGAUCCAGCCAUGCCGCGUGUGUGAAGAAGGUCUUCGGAUUGUAAAGCACUUUAAGUUGGGAGGAAGGGCAUUAACCUAAUACGUUAGUGUUUUGACGUUACCGACAGAAUAAGCACCGGCUAACUCUGUGCCAGCAGCCGCGGUAAUACAGAGGGUGCAAGCGUUAAUCGGAAUUACUGGGC